rnacentral:misc_RNA from 1 species
GAUCAUUAUUGAAUAACUUUGGCGUGGUUGUAGCUGGCCCUCUCGGGGGCAUGUGCCCACCAUGUCAUCUUUAUAUCUCCACCUGUGCACCCUUUGUAGAACGUUUUUGGACUGAUAGGAGGGGCUCGAAAGAGUUUCCAAGUUGAACGUCCUGAACGGUCUACGUUUUCAUAUACCCCAAAGAAUGUAAUAGAAUGUAUCAUAUGGCCCAGUGCCUAUAAACUAAAUACAACUUUCAGCAACGGAUCUCUUGGCUCUCGCAUCGAUGAAGAACGCAGCGAAAUGCGAUAAGUAAUGUGAAUUGCAGAAUUCAGUGAAUCAUCGAAUCUUUGAACGCACCUUGCGCUCCUUGGUAUUCCGAGGAGCAUGCCUGUUUGAGUGUCAUUAAAUUCUCAACCUUACCAGCUUUUGUUAGCUCGUGUAAUGGCUUGGACUUGGGGGUCUUUUGCUGGCUUCGUCAAGAGGUCAGCUCCCCUUAAAUGCAUUAGCCGGCUUCCCUGCGUGGACCCGUCUAUUGGUGUGAUAAUUAUCUACGCCGUGGACAAUCUGCUUUAAUGGGUUGAAGCUGCUUCUAACCGUCCGUUAAGUUGGACAAUACAUAUGACAAUUUGACCUCAAAUCAGGUAGGACUACCCGCUGAACUUAA